GGCAACUCGCUGGGGUCCUCUUCCACCUUGUGGAAACUUUGUUUUUUCGCUCUUUGCAAUACAUCUUGCUGCUGCUCACUCUUCGGGUCUGCACUGGCUUUAUGAGCUGUAACACUCACUGCGAAGGUCUGUAGCUUCACUCCUGAAGCCAGUGAGACCACGAGCCCACCGGGAGGACCGAAGAACUUCAGACGCGGCGCGUUAAGAGCUGUAACACUCACCGCGAAGGUCUGCAGCUUCACUCCUGAGCCAGCGAGACCACGAACCCACCAGAAGGAAGAAACUCGGAACACAUCCGAAUAUCAGUAGGAACAAACUCCGGACACGCUGCCUUUAAGAACUGUAACACUCACCUCGAGGGUCCGCGGCUUCAUUCUUGAAGUCAGUGAGACCAAGAACCCCCCAAUUCCGGACACAGGGGGACUUGGCUGCUUCCUGUUUCUAUCAUAGACGUAGCUGGCCUCAGAAUAUUCCACUUAUGGAUGAAAGAAUGAUAGUGUGAUUUUAUGGAAGAAUUUAAGAAGAUGUUGCGGUAUCAUCGACUUUAACAAAAGAGAAACCAGCAAACUAUCCAUAAACCAUCUGUGACACAUGGACUGAUCCAUGCCCAAGAGGAUUCAUUUUCCAAACAAGAUUCCUGGGAUAGCUGUGUUGACUGGAUAGAUAUUCGACUUGCACAAGGAAGGACUUUCUGGAAUCUACUUAUCUGAUCAAGAAAGCUUCUUUCCAAAAGAAAUGCAAUUGUCUUGAGACUUCUUCCCUAGGGAUCUGAUCAACUAACCAGAAAAGAGCAACCACCAGAGAAGAGACUGUGGGUGUCAUUGUGACUGGCUGCUACCUCCCCAUGAGUCUUCUAAAAUAAAACCUGCAAAUUCACAUCUUCCCCAUGCUUCCAGAGAAUGCAUAUUCUUCCUUUGAAAAAAGAAAACCAGGUAGUCGUACAGUGUCCAGAAGGCAAAAGGACAAGUAUGCACUGCCCUACUGACCUACUUUCCACACUGCUGCACAGGAAAAUCUGACAGAGGACAAUAACAAACAUCUCACCAGCUCAUGCGUUCUUUUUUGAUCCUAAUUCCGAGAGACUCACCAAAGACAUGAAGAGAAAACAAACAAUACUUUUCUUGGAAAUAUUGUAAUUGCUGGUAUAUUUGUUGUUCUGGCAUAAAGUAGAAAUUGUCAGGUAAACAUUGCUUCCUUUUGGAUCAAAAAGAAAUUUAACCAAAUAAAUGCAAGAGGUAUGAGGGAAGAUAAUGGGAAAUAAAUGAGAUUUGAGAAAUCAGUGG